rnacentral:rRNA from 1 species
UACGUAGGGUGCAAGCGUUGUCCGGAAUUAUUGGGCGUAAAGAGCUCGUAGGCGGUCUGUUACGUCGGAUGUGAAAACCCGAGGCUUAACCUCGGGCCUGCAUUCGAUACGGGUAGACUCGAGUGUGGUAGGGGAGACUGGAACUCCUGGUGUAGCGGUGAAAUGCGCAGAUAUCAGGAGGAACACCGGUGGCGAAGGCGGCAUCCUGGACCGGCAUUGACGCUGAGGCGCGAAAGCCAGGGGAGCAAACGGG